rnacentral:rRNA from 1 species
UACGAAGGGGGCUAGCGUUGCUCGGAAUUACUGGGCGUAAAGGGAGCGUAGGCGGCUUAGUAAGUCGGAUGUGAAAACUCGGGGCUCAACCCCGAGACGCCAUCCGAUACUGCUGUGGCUUGAGUCUGGUAGGGGAACACGGAAUUCCUGGUGUAGCGGUGAAAUGCGCAGAUAUCAGGAGGAACACCGAUGGCGAAGGCAGUGUUCUGGGCCAGUACUGACGCUGAGGAGCGAAAGCGUGGGGAGCAAACAGG